rnacentral:tRNA from 1 species
GCUCCAUAGAGUAGUGGUUAGCACAUCUGCUUUACAUGCAAAAGGUCCUGGGUUCACGUCCCAGGUGGAGCG